UACGUAGGGGGCAAGCGUUGUCCGGAAUCAUUGGGCGUAAAGAGCGUGUAGGCGGUUCAGUAAGUCUGCUGUAAAAGUCCAGGGCUCAACCCUGGAAAGCCGGUGGAUACUGCUGAACUAGAGUCCGGAAGGGGCGAGUGGAAUUCCUGGUGUAGCGGUGAAAUGCGCAGAUAUCAGGAGGAACACCACUAGCGAAGGCAGCUCGCUGGGACGGAACUGACGCUGAGACGCGAAAGCGUGGGGAGCAAACAGG
rnacentral:rRNA from 1 species